GACGAACGCUGGCGGCGUGCCUAAUACAUGCAAGUAGAACGCUGAAGAGAGGAGCUUGCUCUUCUUGGAUGAGUUGCGAACGGGUGAGUAACGCGUAUGUAACCUGCCUUGUAGCGGGGGAUAACUAUUGGAAACGAUAGCUAAUACCGCAUAACAAUGGAUUACACAUGUCAUUUAUUUGAAAGGGGCAAUUGCUCCACUACAACAUGGACCUGCGUUGUAUUAGCUAGUAGGUGAGGUAAUGGCUCACCUAGGCGACGAUACAUAGCCGACCUGAGAGGGUGAGUAGCCAGACUGGGAGUGAGACACGGCCCAGAGUGCCAGGGGAAGGAGCAGGAGGGAAACGGGAGGAAGGGGGGGGAACCAGAGCGAAAAAGGCGGCAGGAGGGAGGAGGGACGUCGGGUGGGAGAGGACUGUUGUAAGGUAAGAAAGGGCGUGAGAGUGGAAAGAAGAGAGUGUGACGGUAGCGGACAAAAAAGCAACGGCUAACUACGUG
rnacentral:rRNA from 1 species